rnacentral:rRNA from 1 species
UACGUAGGGGGCAAGCGUUACCCGGAUUUACUGGGCGUAAAGCGCGUGUAGGCGGCUGGCCAAGCGUGGUGUGAAAUCUCCGGGCUCAACCCGGAAACUGCCAUUGAUACUAUUAGUCUUGAAUUUUGUUGAGGUAGGCGGAAUAAGUCAUGUAGCGGUGAAAUGCAUAGAUAUGACUUAGAACACCAAUUGCGAAGGCAGCUUGCUAAACAAAUAUUGACGCUGAGGCACGAAAGCGUGGGGAUCAAACAGG